GAAUCAUGUAGCGACAGAUGAAGACGAACCUGCUUUGAAAUGCCAGCGACUAGAAAUCAAUUGCCAGGAUCCAUCUAUAAAGUCAUUCCUGUAUUCCAUCAACCAGACAAUCUGCUUGCGGUUGGAUAGCAUUGAAGCCAAAUUGCAAGCCCUGGAGGCUACUUGUAAAUCCUUAGAAGAAAAGCUGGAUCUGGUCACGAACAAGCAGCACAGCCCCAUCCAGGUUCCCAUGGUUGCCGGCUCCCCU
rnacentral:lncRNA from 1 species